CUAAAAAUCUAGCCCCCCCACACUUAACCAACCUUUAAACAACAAACAAAAUAUUUUCAUAUCUUAGUAAAGACGAUUAAAAAAUUUCUUUGGAGCUAUAAAAUGUACCGCAAGGGAAAGAUGAAAUAAAAAUGAAAUAAAUCUCAAGCACAAAAAAAUAGAGAUUCACCCUCGUACCUUUUGCAUCAUGGUUUAGCUAGUCUAAUUAGGCAAAAUGACCUUAAGUCUAACCCCCCGAAACUAAGUGAGCUAUUUUAGGGCCGCUUUACGAGCUAACCCGUCUAUGUUGCAAAAUAGUGGGACGACCUUAAAAUAGGGGCGAAACACCUAACGAACUUAGUUAUAGCUGGUUCUUCAGGAAAGGAAUUUCAGUUCCGCCUAAAAUAAUUAAAAAUUUUUCCCAGAUUUAACCUUAAUUUUAGAGUAAUUCAAAUAAGGUACAGCCUAUUUGAUACAGGAUUCAACCUUCACAAACGGGUAAUAGUUGUUUCACACACCCCAAGUGGGCCUAAGAGCAGCCACCUUAUUAAAAGCGUUAAAGCUUAAACGUGUAAAUUUUAAUUCAUAACCCAUUAUUAACCCCUUCACUUCUACUGAAGACUUCUAUAAAAAUAUAGAACUUUUUAUGCUAAAACUAGUAACAAGGGGAAGCCUCCCCUCUAAGAUGUGAGUAUAAGCCAAAAAGAACCCAUCAUUGGCACUCAACAGGUGAAAAUAGUAACUAUAACUAGAAAAUUCUAUUUUAUACUCUGUUAAUCUAACACCAGAACAUCUCAAGAAAGAUUAAAAGAAAAAGAAGGAACUCGGCAAAUAUUAACCCCGCCUGUUUACCAAAAACAUCACCUCUUGAUACUAUAAGAGGCCCAGCCUGCCCGGUGACUCUUGUUUAACGGCCGCGGAACCCUGACCGUGCGAAGGUAGCGUAAUCACUUGUCCUAUAAAUGAGGACUAGUAUGAAAGACUUCACGAGGAUUAAACUGUCUCUUUUUUCUGAUCAGUGAACCUAAUCUCCCCGUGAAGAAGCGGGCAUAAUCAUAUAAGACGAGAAGACCCCAUGGAGCUUAAAACACUUCUACACCUGUCACAAUUCCCUAAUAACUACUAUGACACCCUGUUUAAAUGUUUUUGGUUGGGGUGACUGCGGAGAAUAAUAAAACCCCCGCGAUGAAAAGGUAUAUCCCUAAACCAUAAGUUACAACUUUAAGUAUCAGAAAACUGACAUCCUUUGACCCAAUUACUUGAUCAACGAACCAAGUUACCCUGGGGAUAACAGCGCAAUCCACCUUGAGAGCUCUUAUCGACAGGUGGGCUUACGACCUCGAUGUUGGAUCAGGGUAUCCUAGUGGUGCAGCCGAUAAUAAAGGUUCGUUUGUUCAACGAUUAAAACCUUACGUGAUCUGAGUUCAGACCGGAGCAAUCCAGGUCAGUUUCUAUCUAUACAGAGCUUUUUUU
rnacentral:rRNA from 1 species